rnacentral:rRNA from 1 species
GUGGAUAACCUACCCUUAGGACCGGAAUAACCCCGGGAAACUGGGGAUAAUACCGGAUAAGCCAUAGACGCUGGAAUGCCCUAUGGUUCAAAGCUCCGGCGCCUAAGGAUGGAUCUGCGGUCUAUCAGGUUGUAGUGGGUGUAACGUACCUACUAGCCGACGACGGAUACGGGUUGUGAGAGCAAGAGCCCGGAGAUGGAUUCUGAGACACGAAUCCAGGCCCUACGGGGUGCAGCAGGCGCGAACACUUUACAAUGCGGGAAAUCGCGAUAAGGGAACCCCGAGUGCCAGCAUCAAAUGUUGGCUGUCCAGAUGAUUAAAAAUCAUUUGUUAGCAAGGGCCGGGCAAGACCGGUGCCAGCCGCCGCGGUAACACCGGCGGCCCGAGUGGUAGCCGUUUUUAUUGGGUCUAAAGGGUCCGUAGCCGGCCUGAUAAGUCCUUUGGGAAAUCUGGCAGCUUAACUGUCAGGCUUCUAAGGGAUACUGUCAGGCUUGGGGCCGGAAGAGGUAAGGGGUACUCCAGGGGUAGGAGUGAAAUCUUGUAAUCCCUGGGGGACCAUCUGCGGCGAAGGCGCCUUACCAGAACGGGUCCGACGGUGAGGGACGAAAGCUAGGGGAGCAAACCGGAUUAGAUACCCGGGUAGUCCUAGCUGUAAACGAUGCUCGCUAGGUGUCAGACACGGUGCGACCGUGUUUGGUGCCGCAGGGAAGCCGUUAAGCGAGCCACCUGGGAAGUACGGUCGCAAGGCUGAAACUUAAAGGAAUUGGCGGGGGAGCACUACAACGGGUGGAGCCUGCGGUUUAAUUGGAUUCAACGCCGGAAAACUCACCGGGUGCGACAGCAAUAUGUAGGUCAGGCUGAAGGUCUUACCUGAAUCGCUGAGAGGAGGUGCAUGGCCGUCGUCAGUUCGUACUGUGAAGCAUCCUGUUAAGUCAGGCAACGAGCGAGACCCGCGCCCACAGUUGCCAGCAUGUUCUCAGGAACGAUGGGUACACUGUGGGGACCGCCGCUGCUAAAGCGGAGGAAGGAACGGGCUACGGUAGGUCAGUAUGCCCCGAAUCUCCCGGGCUACACGCGGGCUACAAUGG